UGUUUCUGUGAUAGAUAAUAACCUUUAUUUUACUUACAUUUUUAGAGGUAGUAGGCAUUGAACUUCGGGCCUGCACAGUGUUGGUGAACGACCUACUACCCAGUUUCCCCAUCCGUCACUGCAGGAAGCGUCAAGGCUAACAGAGCACGUGACCUUGUUUGUAUUAAGUGGACGUCAGGAGUAGCUGACAAUCAGAUAUCAUUUGGAAUUUAUUUUAAAAUUUCAUGAUUUUAAAAGGCUUUGCUUUAUAUUUAGGGCAAAUUUAUGUUGGUUUAUGUAACAGAAUAAUUAAUAUUUGUGUUGAAAUUGAGAUAUUUUAUGUACUGCUAUGUUGUUUUAGUUUUUAUAUGAUACUUUGAAUAAAAUAUUUGUAAUAAAAUGGAGAUUAUUAGCCAGGCAGUGGUGGCACACACCUUUAGUCCCAGCACUUGGGAGGCAGAGGCAGGCAGAUCUCUGAGUUUGAGGCCAGCCUGGGCUACAGAGUGAGUUCCAGGACAACCAGGGCUUUACAGAGAAAACCUAUUUCAAAAAAAAAAAAAAUGGAGAUUAUUGUUGUGACUGAAUUAUUUGUGUGGAUGCUGCUCUUUGCUGUGUUAAGACUAAUUAGCAUUAGGGUAGUCUUAGACAAGCUUGCAAUGUAACUUAUAGAAUGUGUUUCUUUUCUUGCAUGGUGAUGCUUAGUAUCUUCUGAUAUUUCCUUGUGUUGACUCUGUCAACUGCAAUUGCACUUUAUAGUAAGUUUAGGGCUCAUGACAUAAACUGUAUUGUAGAUGAAGUCUCACCUAGUAUAACAUUUUUAUAGUUAAAUCCCUUUAAAUGAGACUUCAACAUCCCUGUGCUAGUCGGACAAUGGAACUGUUCCUGAUAUUAUCAAUAACCCCGACAUACUCAUUUGACAGUAUGUCCUGUUGUCCUCCUCCUGCUGGAAGUUGGUCUGGAUGUUGUAGAAACGAAUCAGUAAACAAGACAGCGCCUCUCUCCCUCAGUUUCUUCCUCCUCCCGGGACUUCUCCUGGCUCUGCCCCGUGCCCACCCCUGCCCUCAGCAGAGCUCCUUGAUAGUUCACGCCCUUCCUCACACCACUCCCCCACUGGUCCUUUCAAACUCCUCCAGCUCCCUUCUUCUCAGGACUUCAGCAAAGUGGACGUCAAGUUCCCCGGUGGCUUCCACGUGAAGCAUGCAGGGGCCAGGCCCCAGUCCUCGUCUGGGCCCCACGAGCAGCUGUGACAAUGUGCUGGGCGCUGCUGCUUCUUGAAGGGCUUCCUUCCUUUGGUGUCCAGAGUGCUGGCUGCACUUCCUGGACUUUCCUCCUAACUGUUGCUGGUUAACAACAGUUAACUGUUGCUAGUUCACAACAGUUAACGGUUGCUCUUUAACAUUGGGCUGCCCCGACUACAGUUCCUGGAGCUUAACUCUCUGCUUGACCAGUUGUCAUAACUUAGCCUGUAAGGAUUCAUACUGAAUCCUUAAGUUUUGGCUUAGGUGUCAGCUUUUCCGUGAGAUCUUCUGCAUCUCAAAUGAAGUGGUCCUCUUCUUCCUCUCCCUGCAUCGUCCUGCUCCACAGAAAGCUGUCCUCGAACCCUGUCACUUACUCUCCCCUGUCUGCCUGCUCUCUGGAAUGGGAGACCCUCCUGCAAGGGUUUUUGUCUGAUUUGCUAACUGCUAUACUCGCUGCAGCAUCUGGGAUCGUUAUGAAUGAAUAGGAGACGGAAUGAAAUUAGAGCCACGCUUUACGUUCUUCCUGUGAGAAGCGUUCUGAGCAAAAGGAACAGCAAGUCAGAGGCUGUGAGAGAGUGCAGCCGGGGUGGGGUUGGCCCAGGAGCUGGUGGGAAGGGUGCUAGAGUGGUUGCUCCUGGGAGGCCUUCUGGCUCCAAAGUCCCCAGGAAGGAAGUUAGAUUCUUCACACAUCUUUGGGUACUAGAAAGAGGCCCGAGUUGAUAUCUUUAAAUAAUUGAUGCUAAAGCUAGGCCUGGCGGCACAGACUUAAACCUUAGCUCCUCACACGGCAGAGGCAAAGGAUCUCAGGUUCAUGGCCAGCCUGGGCAGCUUAGUGAAUUGGAUGUGGAGGUUUACGUCUAUAAUCCUAACACUCUGGAAGUAGAGGCAGGAGUAUCUGGAAGCCAAGGCCAGCCAGGCUACAUGAGGUCCUAUAUUUAAAAAGACAAGCACUCAACCUUGUACAGAAGUAGGUUGUCAAGCUUAUUUUAGUGUUCAGCUUUUCAUUUUUGCUGCCCCCGCCCCCACAAAAGACCCAUUUAGUUAGAUAGCCAUAGUUAUUUCAUAGGUUUCUGUGCUGAUUGGAUUUACUGCCUGUUACACUGAGUGAAUGCUUCUCAGGAAGGCUGUGACCAUAUCAUCUCUUUUGUUCUGGGCUUUACCCCAGCAGCAGUGUUUAUGGUGAGUCUGUGGUGUCCGUGGCUGGCAAACACUGUGACAUAGCUCACUGGGACGGGAGAUCCACAUCCUGCCACCCAUCCAGCAGAGAGACCCCACUUUCCAUCAAUCUCCGUGGUGAAAAUUCAGAGAGUGAGGGUGUGAGGCAGGGGAGAAUUGAGUGAGGAGGCAUCAUCUCUAUGAUGAAAGAGAGUCUGUCAGACAAGGAGCUGUGCGUCCAGGGCGGUUACUGAGAG